rnacentral:tRNA from 1 species
GCAUUGGUGGUUUGGUGGUAGAGUUCUCACCUUCCAGGAGGGAGAUCCGAGUUCGAUUCCCAGCCAGUGUA